rnacentral:lncRNA from 1 species
AUGCAGCUGCAGCCCAGCACAGUGGAGCUAAGCGCCAAUCCCAGCAGUGUCCAUGGCUCGGAGCUGUGGGAGAGCGUCGGCAAGAUGUACUUCCAGGAGGAAGGCCACAUGCUUCGUUCAGGAGGGAAGGGAGACGGAUGUUCAGCCACCAGCCACCAGCACUGUGGUCAUCAUAGGGUGCAGGAGAGCCCCGGCUCUGGGUACAGGUGUUGCCCAGAGCAUCAGCCCCUCACCCCACAUUUCAGCCACAGCUCUGAACUUCCUGCAGGAUGCAGGCCGUCCAAGAACCUACGUGCUGGCUGUCCCAUGGAGCUGGGCCUUGGCAUCAGAAGUUUUAAUGCAUCUAAUGAAGUGACACUUCGGAAAGCUGACUGAUUGUGUGCUGCAGUGCACACUAGGGUGAGGGGAGGGAAUAAUUCAGCAGCCACAACCCCACUGGCACGAGGCUUGGUACACGUCUUGGAGAAAAUGUGGGACAGAAGAGCAUCAAAAGAUACCAUCGUGCAGGUGGGCUUACUGAAGGUGCAUCAUCUCUCAUCAAUGCAUCAUUUCACAUCGAUGUAUCAUUAUCCAAGGAUAUCCAAGGAGUAUUAUGCCAAGGAGAGCCUUGGUAGUGUAACUGCUUUCUCUAAGUGAAGUAGAUUAAUGUGACUGAAUUUCUGUGAAAUGUUUAAUAACGCAUCGAAGAGGAGAUAGUCUAUUGAAAUGGAUUAAUGUAGGAUGUUGCAAAUUGACUAAGAAAUUCGGAGUAUGGGAGACAGAAGGAAGCAUUGGGCAGGGAUGGCUGGCGAGCACAGAGCCCCCUGGGGCCAUGCCCUUCAUGCAGGGCAGCAUGGCCUCCCAUCACUUAUCCCAACCUCCUGUUCCUCCCUGGGGAUCCUGCAGGAACGGACAUUUCUUUGAAAUGCUUAGUCUACUUCUACAAACAGUUCUGGCUCAUGUUCAGGGCUGAAAAGCAAAACAAAGAAAAGAUUUGUAUUCAGAAAUUGCAGCAUCUUGGAAAACAGUUGGCUGGAGUUCAGCUCUGCAGAUGAGCAAAAGAUGCACUGCUCUCCCAGAGCGGGCUCAUCCAUCCUUGCCCUGAACUUCACCACUGCUAUGGAUUGCAAGGGGGAAGAUUUCCAGAUUUGAAGUUGUUUCUCCCUUUAUCUCUUGUUUUGGAUGCUCUGAAAGGGGAAGGGGAGGGACCUUUUGUGACAUAAUCCGGUGCAUUUACCUGCCCUUUUCUCUGAGACAAGCUGUGUUACUCUGCAUUUUAUAUUAAUUCCUCUCUCUUAAAAAUCAAAAUGGAAGACAGAUUUUGUGAUUUAAGGUGUAACAACGACUCGUUACUUUACAUACCUAUAACAGGCAUUUGCAUUUUCAGAUCAAGUGA